rnacentral:rRNA from 1 species
UACAUCGGAAUCUACUCUGUCGUGGGGGAGUAACGUAGGGAAACUUACGCUAAUACCGCAUACGACCUACGGUGAAGCAGGGAUCUUCGGACCUUGCGCGAUUGAAUGAGCCGAUGUCGGAUUAGCUAGUUGGCGGGGUAAAGGCCCACCAAGGCGACGAUCCGUAGCUGGUCUGAGAGGAUGAUCAGUCACACUGGAACUGAGACACGGUCCAGACUCCUACGGGAGGCAGCAGGU